UACGUAGGGUCCGAGCGUUGUCCGGAGUUACUGGGCGUAAAGCGCGCGCAGGCGGCCGUCCAAGCCCGGCGUGAAAGCCCCCGGCUCAACCGGGGAGGGUCGUCGGGGACUGGGCGGCUUGAGGACGGCAGGGGUCGGUGGAAUUCCCGGUGUAGUGGUGAAAUGCGUAGAGAUCGGGAGGAACACCCGUGGCGAAGGCGGCCGACUGGGCCGGACCUGACGCUGAGGCGCGAAGGCGUGGGGAGCGAACGGG
rnacentral:rRNA from 1 species